GACGAACGCUGGCGGCGUGCUUAACACAUGCAAGUCGAACGGAAAGGCCCUGCUUUUGUGGGGUGCUCGAGUGGCGAACGGGUGAGUAACACGUGAGUAACCUGCCCUUGACUUUGGGAUAACUUCAGGAAACUGGGGCUAAUACCGGAUAGGAGCUCCUGCUGCAUGGUGGGGGUUGGAAAGUUUCGGCGGUUGGGGAUGGACUCGCGGCUUAUCAGCUUGUUGGUGGGGUAGUGGCUUACCAAGGCUUUGACGGGUAGCCGGCCUGAGAGGGUGACCGGCCAAAUUGGGACGGAGAUACGGCCCAGCCUCCUAGGGGAGGAAGCAGUGGGGAAUAUUGCACAAGGGGGGGAAGCUUGAUGCACCAACGCCGGGGGGGGGAUGACGGCCUUGGGGUUGAAAACCGCUUUCCCCUGGGACGAAGCGUGGGUGACGGAAAUGGGUAAAGAAGCACCGGCUAACUACG
rnacentral:rRNA from 1 species